AUUGAGCUUGCUCUUCUUGGUCACGACCCUUGGUUCCUGUGUUGCCUUCCCAUNNUAUGGAAAAAUUCGUCAGACGGCCCCGCACCUGUCCUCCCUGUGGCUUUGCGGCUGCAAUGCGGACCUCGAAAGCAGUCCCCGUGUCCCGGACAUAUCCAUUGACUCUUGUUCUGGCUGUCUCGGUCCGCAGGACAACUGCUCGUGCUCCCGGAUGUGGAAAAUUAAGCGGACGUGGGGGGGGGGGGUCUCGGCCUCCUGUUGCUCCAGUCAAGUCCCUCGAUAAGAAUGACUCUUGCUACCCCAUUGACCGCAGGCNGUCCAGGCCCGUGGCAUCGAUGCGGGUCCGAAGUCGAGAAAGAAUGCUACCUGG
rnacentral:misc_RNA from 1 species